AGAACGAACGCUGGCGGCAUGCCUAAUACAUGCAAGUCGAACGAACACUUCGGUGUUAGUGGCGCACGGGUGCGUAACGCGUGGGAAUCUGCCCUUGGGUUCGGAAUAACAGUUGGAAACGACUGCUAAUACCGGAUGAUAUCGAAAGAUCAAAGAUUUAUCGCCCAGGGAUGAGCCCGCGUAGGAUUAGCUAGUUGGUGAGGUAAAGGCUCACCAAGGCGACGAUCCUUAGCUGGUCUGAGAGGAUGAUCAGCCACACUGGGACUGAGACACGGCCCAGACUCCUAACGGG
rnacentral:rRNA from 1 species